rnacentral:rRNA from 1 species
AUGAUUAAAGAUAGCUUGCUAUUUUUAUGAAGAGCGGCGAACGGGUGAGUAACGCGUGGGAAAUCUGCCGAGUAGCGGGGGACAACGUUUGGAAACGAACGCUAAUACCGCAUAACAAUGAGAAUCGCAUGAUUCUUAUUUAAAAGAAGCAAUUGCUUCACUACUUGAUGAUCCCGCGUUGUAUUAGCUAGUUGGUAGUGUAAAGGACUACCAAGGCGAUGAUACAUAGCCGACCUGAGAGGGUGAUCGGCCACACUGGGACUGAGACACGGCCCAGACUCCUACGGGAGGCAGCAGUAGGGAAUCUUCGGCAAUGGGGGCAACCCUGACCGAGCAACGCCGCGUGAGUGAAGAAGGUUUUCGGAUCGUAAAACUCUGUUGUUAGAGAAGAACGUUAAGUAGAGUGGAAAAUUACUUAAGUGACGGUAUCUAACCAGAAAGG